rnacentral:piRNA from 1 species
ACCUCUGGAUAUUGCUUAGCUGAUGUGCA